GUGCCAGCCGCCGCGGUAAUACCGGCAGCUCGAGUGAUGGCCACUCUUAUUGGGCCUAAAGCGUCCGUAGCUGGCCGCGCAAGUCCGUCGGGAAAUCCAUCAGCCCAACUGAUGGGCGUCCGGCGGAAACUGCACGGCUUGGGACCGGAAGGCUCGAGAGGUACGUCCGGGGUAGGAGUGAAAUCCUGUAAUCCUGGACGGACCGCCGAUGGCGAAAGCACGUCGGGAAGACGGAUCCGACGGUGAGGGACGAAAGCCAGGGUCUCCAACCGGAUUAGAAACCCCUGUAGUCC
rnacentral:rRNA from 1 species